rnacentral:rRNA from 1 species
CUUGCUUGCUCAANCUAAGGCAUGCAUGUCUAAGUAUAAGNAUUNUACUGCGNAACUGCGAAUGGCNCAUUAAAACAGNAAUAGUUUAUUUGACAAUCUCACUUAUAUGGAUACCCGUANNAAUUCUAUGAGCUAAUACAUGCUGNACUCCUAACUUUUUGGAAGGGAGGUAUUUAUUAGAUAAUAACCAAUAUUCCGUAGGUCUAUCGAGGUGAAUCAUAAUAACUGAUCGAAUCGCACAGCCUUUGGCUGCGAUAAGUCAUUCAAGUUUCUGCCCCAUCANCUUUANAUGGUAGNGUAUUGGACUACCAUGGCGUNCACGGNUAACGGAGGAUUAGGGUUCGAUUCCGGAGAGGNAGCCUGAGAAACGNCUACCACAUCCAAGGAAGGNAGCAGCCGCGNAAAUUACCCAAUCCUGACUCNNGGAGGNAGUGACAAGAAAUAACAAGNGGAGGCCUAGCCACCGAAUUGCAAUGAGCCGAAUUUACACCACUUACUGAGGACCAAUUGGAGGNCNAGNGUGGU